UGGGGAAUAUUGCACAAUUGGCGCAAGCCUGAUGCAGCCAUGCCGCGUGUAUGAAGAAGGCCUUCGGGUUGUAAAGUACUUUCAGUCGGGAGGAAGGUGGUAAGGUUAAUAACCUUAUCAAUUGACGUUACCGACAGAAGAAGCACCGGCUCACUCCGUGCCAUCAGCUGCGGUACUACGGAGGGUGCAAGCGUUAAUCGGGAUUACUGGGCGUAAAGUGCACGCAGGCGGUUGAUUGAGUCAGAUGUGAAAUCCCCGGGCUUAACCCGGGAAUUGCAUCGUUUACUGGUCAGCUAGAGUCUUGUAGAGCAGGGUAGAAUUCCAUGUGUAGCGGUGAAAUGCGUAGAGAUGUGGAGCAAUACCGGUGGCGAAGGCGGCCCCCUGGACAAAGACUGACGCUCAGGUGCGAAAGCGUGGGGAGCAAACAGG
rnacentral:rRNA from 1 species